rnacentral:rRNA from 1 species
UACGUAGGGUGCAAGCGUUUGUCCGGAAUUAUUGGGCGUAAAGAGCUCGUAGGCGGUUCGUCGCGUCGGCUGUGAAAUCCCGAGGCUCAACCUCGGGUCUGCAGUCGAUACGGGCGGACUGGAGUUCGGCAGGGGAGACUGGAAUUCCUGGUGUAGCGGUGAAAUGCGCAGAUAUCAGGAGGAACACCGGUGGCGAAGGCGGGACUCUGGGCCGAUACUGACGCUGAGGAGCGAAAGCGUGGGGAGCGAACAGG